UGGAGUGCUCGUGUGCCCUCAGGCUCUUCCAGGGCUGCUGCAACCUGCACAGGGCAGGGCCGGCCCUUUGUCCCCCCACAGCAGCACUUUUUAAUAUCCACUGUAUUCCACAUGGAAGGGAGCUGUAGAGACACUUCCUUUUUAUGUUUAAAUAGAAAAACCACUUGAAAGUCUGUUAGAUGUUUUUUAAUUAAAUAAAACUAAAUUAUUUUUUUUUAAGAACGAGGCCAGUCAUGGACAAAGCUAUUUUAUGACCUCCUUCAACGCUGAACCCAAAGCAGGGUUUGUAAACGUGGUGGGUGGGAAGAGACAAAUCCAAUAGAAGGAUGCUGACUAUUUGGGAUUUGAAAUUCUAUUUUUAAGCUACUCCCCUUGCUCUCCCCCCUCUCCCAACACGUACUGGCACAAAGCAUCACAUGAACACUUUGGUGGAAAUUUCUCUUCCUUUUCUUGUGUUAAACCCCUGUGACUUCAGGAAAGUCCAAGCUGCCCAUUCAUUUUAAUUUGCUGCGUAUUUUUGAAUUCUCCAUAGAUUUCUUUCUUUGCAAAUACCUAUAACUUAUAAGCUAAAGUUUUAUUUUUGCAGAAAGUCUGCUGUUAAGCUAUGCUGAUUUUUUUGUCCUGAUCAAAUAGUGUUAAUUUCUACUACUACACUGUACAUGGCCAGGAGUAGUGUAAAAAAGAUGUGGUAGUAUUUUAUGUGCUUUAAACACUGACAAAGAUAUAAAGAGAAAUGCAUAUACAAAGUUUUACUUUCCUAAUAGGAACACUGGCAUUAGCAAAUAGUAUGUUUGAACCAAUAGGAAAUAUUACUUUGUAGUAGCAAACACUUUGUAAAUAAAAACUUGUUAUUUUUUUAAUGGAAAUUUUAUAGAAGCUUUUUCUGUAUACUCAGUUGAUCCCACGUUUACUGAAAAUGCUGCAGAUGGGAACUGUACAUUGCAAAAUGGGGGUGGGGAGCAGACAGUCUGACUUGAGGGGAAAGCUGUGUGUGAAAGCUUUGGGGAAAAAACAUCCAGUUGCCUGUGAACAGAAAUGGAAAGCUUAACUGUAGAAGAACAGAAUAAAAGAAUUUCAAGGCAA